UACGAAGGGGGCUAGCGUUGCUCGGAAUCACUGGGCGUAAAGCGCACGUAGGCGGCUUUCUAAGUCAGGGGUGAAAUCCUGGAGCUCAACUCCAGAACUGCCUUUGAUACUGGAGAGCUUGAGUCCGGGAGAGGUGAGUGGAACUCCGAGUGUAGAGGUGAAAUUCGUAGAUAUUCGGAGGAACACCAGUGGCGAAGGCGGCUCACUGGCUCGACACUGACGCUGAGGUGCGAAAGCGUGGGGAGCAAACAGG
rnacentral:rRNA from 1 species